CUCUGUAAAGGUAAAGGCAAAUCUUCUGAAGUUGGGAUAUAAUUAAUUUAAUUUCACAUAAUUACCAGGGUAAUUAUGUGCCCAUUUGUUUAUUACAACUUAAUGAAAUAUAUUUGUCCUUUUUGAUGUUUGUUGUGACUGACGUAAACUCACAAACAAACGAGGUAAUUAAUCCAAGUUUGUCGUUUAUUGAAGGUUUAGAAACUACAGCGGCUGUAAUGCGCCACAGCAAAGGUAAAAUAACCUGAACAGGUGAUCAACUCAAAACCACUCGUACCUUUUUACUCUCUCUUUCUUUGUCGUUUAAGCACACCCGUUGCCGUGGCAACCGCCUGCACCCCGCAAGCCGAGCAAAGAUUACGUUAAAAACAUAACAUUCAGUCGUUACUAUAUCAGGUUUCCCGGCUUGAUAUUUAUUUCUCGAUUAUUAAUAAGCCUUCCCUGAACACAGCGAUGGUUGAGUAGCUAAUUUAAACUCCUGCUCUGCUAGUCAGUCGAUCUUUGAGUCGCCUUUUUGGGUGUUAAUGGAACCGAAACGCACUGAAUUGCACAACACCUUGUUGAAACAAUAAUUACUGAGAUUAUUAAUUUUAACAGGUUUUGUUGAUUUUAUUAUUCUUUAAUGAAGCUACAAACGUUUAGGAUCUUAGUGAAUAUUUUGGUAAGCGCGUCAGAAGAGGAAGUGCUGGUCUCAGCAUCCUGCGGCGUUCAGUUUGUCACCUUACUGCCGAAAUCGACUCAAAACCUUUCCGCGAUCGACGUAUUGAGCAACCCUCCUCUAAACGUUUCUCCCUGUGCUUGUACCGAAGUGGUAAAUACGUUAGUUCGGUGGGAAAACGGUAUAUCUCAGCACUUCCUUAUAAUAUCUCAAAAUUAUUUAUUCACAUAUUGUGCAUUUUUGAGCGGUACAGGAGACUAAGUGGUCUGAUAAACGACCACUGGAUGGCGAAAUGGUUCGCUGGCCGGAAAAAUAGGCAGGCACAUCAAGAAACAAAACUUCUUGAUGGUCUGCCCUCAGAAGUAAGUAGAAGCUAAUGCAGGCUUUGCUCUCCAAUUAUAAUGAGACUUGGAGUAAUUAUAAAUAAUUUCAGAUUACGUUUUAUAUGGCUGGUAUUUUGAUACUCUGCCCUCCUCAUAUGUUUCUGUUAGCGGGAGCUAAUGUUUAUGUGAGCUAUGCUACUUUAGCUGUUCGCAGCUAAAUCCGUGUAUUUUUAGUGUCACACUCAGCACAGUUUGUCUUUCAUCCA